rnacentral:rRNA from 1 species
UACGGGGGGAGCAAGCGUUGUUCGGAUAUACUGGGCGUAAAGGGCGCGUAGGCGGCCACCGCAAGUCAGUUGUGAAAGCUCUGGGCUUAACCCAGAAAGGUCAACUGAUACUGCGGGGCUAGAGUGCAGAAGGGGCAACUGGAAUUCUCGGUGUAGCGGUGAAAUGCGUAGAUAUCGAGAGGAACACCUGCGGCGAAGGCGGGUUGCUGGGCUGACACUGACGCUGAAGUGCGAAAGUGUGGGGAUCAAACAGG